UAAACUUCCUUCUCCCUGCCGAACUCGCGCCGACGCCAAGCCUUCCUCCGGAUCCUUGCCCUAACCGCCGGCCCGGCGGUUUCUUCCUCGCCGCCCACCCACUUCUUCUUCAUCUCCUUCAUUUUCUUCCUCCUGAGCCGCACCCCUUGGUGCCCUAGCCGAGCACACCGACGCCACUGCCGAUCCACCGCAAGCGCGUUUGUGCCCCAGUGCCGGCGCCACCAUCGACCACCCGGAGCCCUAGCCUUUGCCGUGGAGUUCCUAGCGCUGGCCACUAGUGCCCUAGUCGUGCCGCUGUCACACGGAGGUGCCGCCGGCAUUCUCUGUGCCCUAGCCAGCCCGAUCACCACAGCCGACGCCGACAGACGAGAGUAACGCUGAGCCCUUGCCUCGCCGAUCUCCUCAUGUGAGCCACCCCCACCGCUCCUCCCCGCUGCACACUGCGAGGCCGACUCCUCUGUGCCCUUCUUCCUCUCUGCCGCGUUUCGGCACAGCGCCGACGCCGACCAUCUCGCCAGUGUUCCCGUGUCCUAGCAGCUAUCCUCAAGGGAAGAAUCCAGCAGAGAGGAGGUUCUGUUCCAUUCUGUUGAGAUCUGUGGAUUUGCUUGGUUCCAGCAUCAACAGUAGGUUGUUUGCUGUGGAAAGUUGUUGUUGUCGAUCACCACUUCCUCCUUCUUGAUCCGGUUGAUUUGAGGACUUUUACGCGAGACGAGUAUCUCGACGUCCGGAUCUGGAUUGAUUGGACCAUUUCUUUU